rnacentral:rRNA from 1 species
CCGGACGGUCCGCCUACCGGUGGUUACUGUUCGCUGCCGAGCGUUUCGGCGGUUAUUCUUGAUGAUCUUCACCGGUUGUCUCGGGUGACCGCCAAGUUUACUUUGAAAAAAUUAGAGUGCUCAAAGCAGGCGCGACGCCUGAAUAAUUGUGCAUGGAAUAAUGGAAUAGGACCUCGGUUCUAUUUUGUUGGUUUUCGGAACACGAGGUAAUGAUUAAGAGGGACAGACGGGGGCAUUCGUAUUGCGACGCUAGAGGUGAAAUUCUUGGACCGUCGCAAGACGAACUACUGCGAAAGCAUUUGCCAAGAAUGUUUCCAUUAAUCAAGAACGAAAGUUAGAGGUUCGAAGGCGAUCAGAUACCGCCCUAGUUCUAACCAUAAACGAUGUCAGCCAGCAUUCCGCCUGUGUUCCUCAAAUGACACGGCGGGCGGCUUCCGGGAAACCAAAGCUUUUGGGUUCCGGGGGAAGUAUGGUUGCAAAGCUGAAACUUAAAGGAAUUGACGGAAGGGCACCACCAGAAAUGGAGCCUGCGGCUUAAUUUGACUCAACACGGGGAAACUUACCCGGCCCGGACACAGGAAGGAUUGACAGAUUAAGAGCUCUUUCUUGAUUCUGUGGGUGGUGGUGCAUGGCCGUUCUUAGUUGGUGGGGCGACUUGUCUGGUUAAUUCCGAUAACGAACGAGACUCUAGCCUACUAAAUAGACGUUCCGAUCCUCUUUCGUCGGACGUUCUUCUUAGAGGGACAAGCGGCGUUUAGCCGCACGAGACAGAGCAAUAACAGGUCUGGGAUGCCCUUAGAUGUCCGGGGCCGCACGCGCGCUACAUUGAAGGAAUCAGCGUGUGCUUUCCCUGUCCGAAAGGACUGGGUAACCCGUUGAACCUCCUUCGUGCUGGGGAUUGGAGCCUGUAAUUAUUCUCCAUGAACGAGGAAUUCCCAGUAAGCACGAGUCAUCAGCUCGUGUUGAUUACGUCCCUGCCCUUUGUCCACACCGCCCGUCGCUACUACCGAUUGAAUGAUUUAGUGAGGUCUUCGGACUGGCGCUCGGAUUGGCCUUCGCGGUCGAGCCGAUGUGCCGGAAAGAUGACCAAAC